rnacentral:hammerhead_ribozyme from 1 species
AUGCAGGCUGAAGAGUCGAAAAUAAGAUGAAACGCGCGUCCUGGAU